AUGGCAGAUCGUGCAUGGAUGUAUAAUGGUUGGCAGUAUGGUCAAAUUCCCUCUAACCUAUGGCUUGAACAAACCAACCGAUUUCUAGAGCAUGCAUUCUCUUUUCCAGGCAUAGCCGAAGGUGGUAAAAUCAAGUGUCCAUGUGCCAAGUGUCGUAAUUAUAAUAAGCGCAGCAGGGAUGAGGUAGAGAAACACUUGUAUAAAUACAGGUUCAGGGAAAACUAUGAAACAUGGAUAGAACAUGGUGAGAAGUAUGUUCCUAGCCAAGAGGGAUCUUCCUCUGCCACAAACUAUGCGAGGCAUGAUGAAAUUGACCGAAUGGACAAUAUGUUAGUUGACCUAGGUGGCAACUGUCCUCCACCGAUUGAUGAAGAACCAACCUCCUCUGCCAAGGCUUUCUAUAGGAUGGUUAGCAGUGCUGAUGAAAUUGUCCAUGAGAACACAACACACUCGCGUCUUUCUGCAGUAGCUCGUUUGCUAGCACUGAAAUCUCAGUACAAUAUGUCAAUUGCAGAAUAUGAUGAUGUGUUACAAAUCAUCCAUGAACUUAUGCCUCUGGGUGCUAACUUGUCCAAGGACUUCUACCAAUCUAAGAAACUCUUAGAAGGCCUUGGUAUGCCUUAUGUCAAGAUUGAUGUGUGUAAAAAUAAUUGCAUGUUGUACUAUAAAGAUAAUGAGCAUAAAGAAAAGUGUGACAUCUGCGGUACAUCUCGCUAUGAGGAAGGCCAGAAUAAAGUCCCACAUAAAGUGUUGAGAUAUCUCCCUCUUAAAGAUAGAUUACAGAGGUUGUAUGCUCACGAGGAAACAGCAAAACAUAUGCAGUCACAUAGUCGUUCCAAUUCUGGUAAGAUGGUCCACCCUAUCGAUGGUGAAGCUUGGCAAGGGUUUGACAAGGACUUCCCAGAAUUUGCAGAAGAUCGUAGAAAUGUCCGUCUUGUCAUAGUCGGUGAUGGUUUUACACCAUACAAGUUGAAUGCUAUUCCAUAUACUUGCUGGCCUAUUUUUGUAGCUCCAUUAAACCUUCCACCGGGUAUUCUCUUGAAACCAGAGUAUAUAUUCCUUAGCCUUGUUAUCCCUGGUCCUGAACAUCCUGGAAAAAAUUUGAGUGUCCUAAUGCAACCUUUAGCUGAUGAACUGAUGCAAUUGUGGGCGGGGGUUGAAACAUGGGAUGCUUAUCACAAGGUAAACUUUCCAACGAAAGCGGCUUUUCUAUGGUCAGUCCACGACUUUCCUGCCUUUGGUAUGUUCGCUGGGUGGAGCACCCAUGGCAAGCUAGCAUGCCCCGAAUGCAUGAGUGAUUCCAAAGCAUUUACUCUUCAAUACGGGCGGAAGCCUUGCUGGUUUGAUUGUCAUAGGCGCUUUCUACCUCCAGAUCAUGAAUUCAGAUUCCAGGCCAAUUCGUUUAGAAAGGAUACAAUAGUGUUAGAAGGGCCUCCAAGGCAUUUAAUAGGAGAGGAAGUGGAAUCUCACAUGUACACACAUGUGAAUGACACCUUCAAUUACAAUAAAUUGCACAAUUAA
rnacentral:rRNA from 1 species